CCUACAGUUUGCACAAUUCACGAGACUACGCAUCUCUGUCAAAGACAUAAGGUCUAUUAACCACACACACACACACACACACACACACACACACACACACACACACUGACGACGACUAUGAGCUAGAAUCCAGCUCGUGGACUGUCAGUGAUGCAGCCAUGGCAACCCUGGACCACUGACGUCACCAAUCGGGUGGGAGGAUGCGGUCUGUGAUUGGGUGAGAGAGCUGUCAGUCAGCCCAGUGAUGCAUGAUGGUCAUCGUGUGUGUGUGGACUGAUUGACGCGUUUCAUUCUCCUGAUACGUCACUUCCUGGUUGUGUGUGACGUCUAGCUCCUCCCUGUGGUUGCUAGGCUACAGCUGUCCAGAUGUGCUGGGGAGGAGAGAGUUCCCUAUCCGACCGGGACGACCAAACACACAGGCUGCUGGGAAAGAGGGACCUCUGAACAUCCUGUCCUCAAUCAAGUACACCAGGUGUGAGCUGCAGCCUCGAGCUAGCCGUAUCCCCAUCAGGAGGGCGGAGUCAACCACAGACACGCCCACUGCUGGCCUUAACCCCGCCUCCUCUGGCAGCUGGGAGGAGUCAACUACCAUGAGGGUCUGGAGACUCUUGAAACCUGGAUACCCCCUAACCCUAGGUGUGUCGGAGAAGGAGGUUCCUUCGUUGCGUGUUGUUUCCAGAGCGCUGCUGAAGAACACGGACAGGAGAUCCCUCUAUACACAUUCCACCACAGAGCCCCAAGUUUGUGAGGAGAAGACCGGUUUGGAGGCUGAGGCAGUGUGUGAAACAGCACCCCUGUGUGGAGAGGCAUGAUAACUACACCUUCCCCAACCAGGACAGUGGGGACUGACUGACACACACACUUUCCCUCUGAGAGACCAGGCACCUGUUAGCACCAAAACACCUUUUAGACAGAACUAUUUUAUUAAAUCUUUUUAAACUGUGUGAUUCUUAUACGUGUGUGUGUGUGUGUGUUGAAAUACUGCAGUGUAUAUUGUGUAAUGUAAAGCUUCUUGUGUGUUAGCUGCUGUAAGUUCCUCUGUAUCACCUGUAAACUAUAAUAUAUCAUGUAUUUA
rnacentral:lncRNA from 1 species